UACGGGGGGGCAAGCGUUGUUCGGAAUUACUGGGCGUAAAGGGCUCGUAGGCGGCCAACUAAGUCGGAUGUUGAAAUCCCCAGGCUUAACCCUGGGAACUGCAUCCGAUACUGGAUGGCUUGAAUCCGGGAGAGGGAUGGCGGAAUUCCAGGUGUAGCGGUGAAAUGCGGUAGAUAUCUGGAGGAACACGGUGGCGAAGG
rnacentral:rRNA from 1 species